rnacentral:rRNA from 1 species
GACGAACGCUGGCGGCGUGCUUAACACAUGCAAGUCGAGCGAUGAAGCACCUUCGGGUGUGAAUUAGCGGCGAACGGGUGAGGAACACGUGAGAAAUCUGCCUUCAACACUGGGAUAACUCCGGGAAACCGGGGCUAAUACAGGAUAUGAAACCUGCGGGCAUCCGCGGGCUUGGAAAGUUUUUCGGUUGAAGAGGAUCUCGCGGCCUAUCGGCUCGUUGGUGAGGUAAUGGCUCACCAAGGCGACGACGGGUAGCCGGCCUGAGAGGGCGACCGGCCACACUGGGACUGAGACACGGCCCAGACUCCUACGGGAGGCAGCAGUGGGGAAUAUUGGGCAAUGGAGGAAACUCUGACCCAGCGACGCCGCGUGCGGGAUGAAGGCCUUCGGGUUGUAAACCUCUUUUAGCACCGACGAAGCGCAAGUGACGGUAGGUGCAGAAGAAGGACCGGCCAACUACGUGCCAGCCGCCGCCGUAA